GCUGCCCUCAAGCACGGCUUGUGUGUUGGGCUCUCGCCCCCCCGUCUCGGGAGGGCGGGCCCGAAAGGCAGCGGCGGCACCGCGUCCGGUCCUCGAGCGUAUGGGGCUUCGUCACCCGCUCUGUAGGCCCGGCCGGCGCCCGCCGGCGAACACCCCUCAAUCUUAACCAGG